CUUUCCCCUACCACCAUUUCCAGUCCCCGAAGAUUUGCAUAGACUUUUCCAUUUAUCCCUGACAGAAAACAGCAAUGUUUGGUGUUAUGAAAAUAGUUAUCUAUCUUAAAAUCUGCUUUUCUAAAACUGUGCUCUGAUAUGAAAUAGAAAAUAAUAAAUCUCCCUCCAUUUAUCCAUCAUCAAACAAUGCCUCCUAGUGGUCACAAAUUGACAUUUCUUUGCCUAUUACAGCAGAAUGGAUAGUUAUUAUAGAUAACUAUUGAAACCUCUCACCAUACAUCUUGUUGCUUUUCUGAAACUCGUCAUCUCUUAGAAGAGGUUCUGAGCUGUUGUAGUAGGAUUCAAUGUUUUCUUCCAGGUACCAGGAUUUGUUCUCGUCAAACACCAUGAAAAGGAGAGCAAAUUCUCUGUCCACAUCAGUUCUCUGUCUAUCCUGGUUCAGUGUUCCCUUCCUGCAGAUCAUUAAUGGCCCAAUCAGACCACUGGCUCUGAGCAGUAGGCAAAAGCAAUGCAGUUUGGAUCAGACACGCCUGGACCGGAUUUCUCCGGAAUGAUCCACUGGU
rnacentral:lncRNA from 1 species